rnacentral:rRNA from 1 species
UACGUAGGGGGCAAGCGUUGUCCGGAAUCAUUGGGCGUAAAGAGCGUGUAGGCGGUUCGGUAAGUCCGUCGUGAAAGUCCAGGGCUCAACCCUGGAAAGCCGAUGGAUACUGCUGGACUAGAGUCCGGAAGAGGCGAGUGGAAUUCCUGGUGUAGCGGUGAAAUGCGCAGAUAUCAGGAGGAACACCUAUGGCGAAGGCAGCUCGCUGGGACGGUACUGACGCUGAGACGCGAAAGCGUGGGGAGCAAACAGG